CCUACGGGUGGCAGCAGUAGGGAAUCUUCCACAAUGGGCGAAAGCCUGAUGGAGCAACGCCGCGUGGGUGAAGAAGGUCUUCGGAUCGUAAAACUCUGUUGUCAGAGAAGAAAGUGCGUGAGAGUAACUGUUCACGUUUCGACGGUAUCUACCCAGAAAGCCACGGCUAACUACGUGCCAGCAGCCGCGGUAAUACGUAGGUGGCAAGCGUUAUCCGGAUUUAUUGGGCGUAAAGGGAACGCAGGCGGUCUUUUAAGUCUGAUGUGAAAGCCAUCGGCUUAACCGGAGUAGUGCAUUGGAAACGGGGAGACUUGAGUGCAGAAGAGGAGAGUGGAACUCCAGGUGUAGGGGUGAAAUGCGUAGAUAUAUGGAAGAACACCAGUGGCGAAAGCGGCUCUCUGGUCUGUAACUGACGCUGAGGUUCGAAAGCGUGGGUAGCAAACAGGAUUAGAUACCCCUGUAGUC
rnacentral:rRNA from 1 species